UCAUCAACCAAAAGGAAUUCCUUCCGGUUGAUGAGGUUUAGCUUCCUCAUUGACCAAAGGAGAGUCCUUCCGGUCAAUGAGGAAGCUAUACCUCAUCAACCGGAAGGAAUCCCUUCUGGUUGAUGAAGAA
rnacentral:miRNA from 1 species